CUUGCCACGCUCRUAUUCCAUUAAAUGAUUUGAUUAUUGAAAAUAUAAAUACGACCGCAGAUGAAGAUAGUGUUUUAUAACGUGUAAAUCAUCAAGAAGCGAAGAAUCUUAYAUACAGAAAAACCUACUGCAGAAACGAUUUUGAACUGAAUAUAUCCACAAUGACUGACAAAUUCAUAUUUCUCAUGGUGCUAUGUUUCCUGACUAUUCUCUCUAUUACCAAAGCAGACGACGACAGGAGAGAAAAGUGCUUGGGCGAGUGCAUUAAAGUAACUCUAAGAUGGGAAGACAAAUGCAAGAAAAUCAAAUCUCGGGCUCGCUUUGGMAAAAGCUGCGAGCAAAUCAGUGAAGCUGUCUUCAAGGAAUGCAUAUCCUCAAAUCAAUGUGUUGGUAGGAAAAAGAAUUCUACCGGUUCUUAUUUUAAGAUCCUCUAGACUUGAAGAGGUCUUCUAUAAUUUAUCUGCAAUCAUUUACAACUGUCYCAGCACAACAGUAGUUGCUUCAGACUUUGUUAAUCUCAGUGAAAUUGAAAGAAUAAYGUAAAAUAUAUUCUUCGUUUGCACGUUACGUCAUCGCGGCCAUGUUGGUACCAUUUAACAAAAGAUUUCUCAUUAGCAUCCAUUGUUAACGGUACCACAAUAGCCGCCAUGUUUUUGUCUUUUAACUCUCUUGGGAAUGCUUGCAACCCAUCAGUAGUGUCACCAGCGUUAGUCGUACUUCGAAUCAAACAAACUGUAAUAGAUAGUUAGAGGAUAAUAUAUAUAUAUUAUUUAUUAUUAUUUUUACAUUAUAAUCUCGUUUUUGCACGUUCUGUUUUGAAACUUAAAAACUUUAACGAGCAAAGAAGACAGAAUUGCACAGGACGUAUUCUAGGGAUCGAAACGAUCAACAAUUCACCAUUUUCCAUACAUUGGUUCACUGAUCAAACAUAAAGCGCUCAUUAGCAAAGCGCCAAGGUACUUUAAAAAGAUUACUCAAAUUUGAGCCUUGCAACUUCGACUGAAUGCUUAGUGUUUGACCAGUGAACCGAUGGAUGGAAAAUGGUGAAUAAACCACUUGUAGCACUUUGGAAUGCAGCUCAAUCUGGGGGACAAAACAAUAGGUUCCAAUUCUCAGGAGAUUGGAAUUCUUUUGUUUUGUCCUCCAAAUAGAGCUACUUUCACGUCACAUGCAACGGCUCUAUCGCCGAAAAAUCACACAAAAAAAAAAAAAAGAAAAAAAAGACACAGUUUUCCUCCUAAAAAGUUUCUUCACGCUAUUACUGGUUUUUCAAUCAAUCCUAAGGGCAGUGAAAUAACGAAAGACACGGCGGCCAUGUUGGAUGAUAUAACAAAAGAAUUCAUUGACAAUUAGAUUGUUAAAUGCAUCCAAGAUGGCGGCAUUACGUCAUGUGCAUACGAAAAUCUUAGAUUGUCUAUUUGAUGGCUCGUCAUGUUUGUGUACGCGCGCGCACCUUUAGGAAAGAUCUGUUGUGAUAAUGAUCGAAGACUUCGAUGUAAAGAUACAAGAAAAUGUAAAAUGACUUGUAACAUUUAAAAUAAACAAUACUAUCAGAAAUAAUAUAUACACRCUAGUUAAUAAAUGUACAAUACAAAGUA